AAGGUUUUAAGUUAAUAAAACUAAUAGCCUUCAAAGCUAAAAAUAAAUACUAAAUUUAAACCUUA
rnacentral:tRNA from 1 species